GCGCGGCGGCGCGGCUGGGUGAGCGGAGGCAGAGAGGAUCUUCGCACCCAGAGCCGAGGCUGUACGCGAGGGAGCGCAGCUCGGGGACGAGCCGCCUCCCCACCCCCGCGACGCCGUGCCCGGCUCCGGGGCGCAAGCGCUAUGGCAGGUGCGCAGUAGGGGGUGGCUUGGGUCAAAUUGUACUUCAGCUUCCAACUGCAAGCCAAGUAGAGCGGAGGGUAGUGGAAGAAAGGGAUUAAAUGUCUUUGUUGGGAGCUGGUGGAGGAAGAGGGUUGCCAGAGGAAUGCCUGGGACAAACGUCCUCCCCAGCACCGGGAGCUUGCCUUCCCGAGAGUCCCAGGUAAUAAACAGCUAGGGCUGCCUGCUAGUUGCAACUAACUACCCCCAAGUGCUGGGCUUUCCAAGCUCUGUGAUACCUGCGAAGGCUUGAAAAGUCUCAGCUAUGUUCAUACCCCGACCGUGUGUGGGGAAGGGCAAUAGGUCAUCCUGUCCAAACCUUAGGCCACGGAGCAAUCCUGUCUACAGCAUCUUUGAUAGGUGCUUAUCAACCAAACAGCACACACAGUAGAGGCGGCAGUCGUGUGUUAGAACUCAGACCUGGCUAGGGAACUUGGCCAACAAUUAGCAAGACAAGGGUCCUGUGUUGCUUGAGUCAUAUAACCCCUCUGUCAAUCUCCUCACAUGUAACAAACCUGCCAGUUUCUUUGGAUUUCUAAAUUCCAUAGUCUCUUAAAGCAGAAACGAACUACCUUUAGAAGAAUUCCAUUCGAAUCUUCUAGUCUUCAUUCAUUCAUCUACAAAUAUUUACUGAGUCAUUACUAUUUACCAGGCACUGUGCUAAGGAAACAAACAGAAACAAGAGAGACAAGAUUUUUAUUUUCACGAAGCUAGUAUUCUAGAGGGAGAAGACAGAAAAUAACAAAGAAAACUGAACAAGAUAAUAUCAGAUAGGUGUAGUUGUUUGAAGAAAAUAAAAGAGAAAUACUCAGAUGAAAAGUCCAAAACAACAAUGGCAAAAAGAUAAAAGUAUCUUUCUCUCAGGUAAAGGUAGGCAGUCCUAGAAUAAAAUGGUGGCUCCAUAACGAUUAGGGAUCCCAGCCUCUUUGUGACAGUUUGCUAUGCCAUCUGCUACCUGUGAUUUCCACCCUAACUUAGAAAAUAACAUGACAUCAACAUGCUAGCCAGGAAGACCAGCAAAAGGGGAAGAGAGGCCGGGCGCGGUGGCUCACACCUGUAAUCCUAGUACUUUGAGAGGCUGAGGCGGGUGGAUCACUUGAGGUCAGGAGUUUGAGACCAGCCUGGCCAACAUGGUGAAACCCUGUCUCUACUAAAAAUACAAAAAUUUGCCAGAAAUGGUGACACGCUCCUGUAAUCGUAGCUACUCAGGGACUGAGGCAGGAGAAUCGCUUGAACUCAGGAGGCAGAGGUUGCAGUGGGCCAAGAUCACACCACUGUUGCCUU
rnacentral:lncRNA from 1 species